CACGUAGGGCGCAAGCGUUGUCCGGAAUUAUUGGGCGUAAAGAGCUCGUAGGCGGUCUGUUACGUCUGCUGUGAAAACCCUGGGCUUAACCCUGGGCUUGCAGUGGAUACGUGCGGACUUGAGUGCGGAAGAGGGUCGUGGAAUUCCCAGUGUAGAGGUGAAAUUCGUAGAUAUUGGGAAGAACACCGGUGGCGAAGGCGGCGACCUGGUCCGAUACUGACGCUGAGGCGCGAAAGCGUGGGGAGCAAACAGG
rnacentral:rRNA from 1 species